AGCAGCCGCGGUAAUUCCAGCUCCAAUAGCGUAUAUUAAAGUUGUUGCAGUUAAAAAGCUCGUAGUUGAACUUCAGACCUGACCGGGCGGUCCGCCUAACGGCGUGUACUGUCUGGCCGGGCCUUACCUCUUGGUGAGCCGGCAUGCCCUUCACUGGGUGUGUCGGGGAACCAGGACCUUUACCUUGAGAAAAUUAGAGUGUUCAAAGCAGGCUUACGCCAGAAUACAUUAGCAUGGAAUAAUAGAAUAGGACGUGCGGUUCUAUUUUGUUGGUUUCUAGAGUCGCCGUAAUGAUUAAUAGGGAUAGUUGGGGGCAUUUGUACUGCGUUGCUAGAGGUGAAAUUCUUGGAUUUACGCAAGACAAACUAUUGCGAAAGCAUUUGCCAAGGAUGUUUUCAUUAAUCAAGAACGAAGGUUAGGGGAUCGAAAACGAUCAGAUACCGUUGUAGUCUUAACAGUAAACUAUGCCGACUAGGGAUCGGACGACCUCAAUAUUAUGCGUCGUUCG
rnacentral:rRNA from 1 species